rnacentral:rRNA from 1 species
AUUGAACGCUGGCGGCAGGCUUAACACACGCAAGUCGAGCGGAGAUGAGGUGCUUGCACCUUAUCUUAGCGGCGGACGGGUGAGUAAUGCUUAGGAAUCUGCCUAUUAGUGGGGGACAACAUUCCGAAAGGAAUGCUAAUACCGCAUACGUCCUACGGGAGAAAGCAGGGGAUCUUCGGACCUUGCGCUAAUAGAUGAGCCUAAGUCGGAUUAGCUAGUUGGUGGGGUAAAGGCCUACCAAGGCGAGGAUCUGUAGCGGGUCUGAGAGGAUGCUCCGCCACACCGGGACCGAGACACGGCCCAGACUCCUACGGGAGGUAGCAGUGGGGAAUAUUGGACAAUGGGGGGAACCCUGAUCCAGCCAUGCCGCGUGUGUGAAGAAGGCCUUAUGGUUGUAAAGCACUUUAAGCGAGGAGGAGGCUACUGAGACUAAUACUCUUGGAUAGUGGACGUUACUCGCAGAAUAAGCACCGGCUAACUCUGUGCCAGCCGCCGCCGUAAAAC